rnacentral:lncRNA from 1 species
UUUGCUAGAGAAAACGGACGCUGAACUGCUCUCUGCCAGAUCAGCCAAUGAUCAGCUGGAACAUGAAAUUGCUGAUGUGAAGGAUGAGUUGGUUCAGAAGGAGAAAGAGCUCCUAGAAGCUAUGCUGAUGAUCUCCGUCGUGCAGAGUGAAAAAUCUGAACUAUCCAAGGCAGUGGAGGAUUUAGAAUGUAGAUACAAGGAAGCUAAAGCUAUAGAGGAAGAUAAAGAUAAGCAGGUUUUGAAACUCCAAGGCGAUUACGAGGAGCAGGUUAAGAAGACUGGUCAUGCAAACGAAGCUAAUAUGAAACUGGAAGCUGACUUGUUGAACUUGCUCAUGGAACUCGAAGGAAUCAAAGCGGAGAAGGAAAAACUAAACCGGGAGCUUUCCAAAGAGAAGAGUGAGGUUGAAGUAUGGGAGUCUCAAGCUUCAACGUUGUUUAGAGAUUUGCAGAUUUCAGCUGUUAGUGAAACAUUGCUGCAAGGGUUGACUUAUGAGCUAGCGGAAGCUUAUAAUAACCUUGAAAAUAGAUGCACACUAAAAGACGUGGAGAUUGACCAACUGAACCAAAAGCUUUCCAAAGAGAAGAACGAGGUUGAACAAUGGGAGUCUCAAGCUUCAACACUGUUUGGAGAUUUGCAGAUUUUAGUUGUUCAUAAAACAUUACUGGAAGGGUUGGUCCAUGAGUUAGUGGAAGCCUACAAUAACCUUGAGAGUAGAUGUACACGAAAAGACGUUGAGAUUGACCAGCUUAAAGGAAGAGUCAACAACUUAGAGGAUGCUAACAAAGGACAAGAAGAUCUUAUGAGGAAAUACUUCCAAGCUAUUAUAUUGUUGAAGGAAAGCAUAGAAUCUUUAGAAAAACAUAUUGACAUGCCACAUGAACUCGAGGAUGAACCACCCACGGUAUGUUAUCUUAGCAAACUCUCCUUCUAAUGAAGCGUUAAGACAGCUUUAUCGUUGGACCAUUGCAUCCGUUUCUUUGUCAAUUUUAAUAUUUUCUUGUGUGAAAGUAACCAAUCUUUUUGUGCUUAUCUCAUACCAGGACACUGCUUCUAUGGUGGAUAACAACAAGGAGGGCUUCUUAGAGUUGGAAGAAAUGUGUUUGAGAAUCAAAGCUAUUGAAGAGGCCUUAACCAAGAAGCUCGCAGUGGAAGAACUAAGAACAUCUGCCCGAAGAAGCAGAAGGAGAAGCGGAAGUCUCCGGAAACAGAACAAUGAAAUCUAUUCACAGGAAAGUGAAAUGAUCACCAAAGAUAUUGUCCUCGACCAGGUCUCUGAUUGCUCAUCAUAUGGGAUUAGCAAGAGAGACAUUCUCAAGAUAGAAGAUGAUCACAGUUUUGAGGCACAGACGGGUAAGUCCUUGUCCGAAGAGUCACUUGUUGUGGACAAACUAGAGAUCUCCGACAGGUUCACGGACCCAAACAAAGAAGUAAACAAGAGGAAAGUCCUCGAGCGGCUUCAUUCUGAUCUACAGAAGCUCUCGAAUCUUCACAUAGCCGUGGAGGAUUUGAAAAGCAAAGUGGAGAGAGAGGAGACAAGCGAGAAAGGGAAAGAAGACGAAUACGAAGCCGUCAAGGGACAGAUCCACGAAGCGGAGGAAGCCUUGGAGAAGCUUCUAAGCGUCAACAGGAAGCUAGUAACAAAAGUCAUAAGCGGGUUUGAGAUAUCAGACGGAAGCAAAUCUUCAGUGGAUCUUGAUGAGGAUGAGAGAAGCAGGAGGAGGAAGAUAUCAGAGCAAGCGAGGAGAGGUUCGGAGAAGAUUGGGAGGUUGCAGUUUGAGAUACAGAGGUUACAGUUUCUGUUGCUGAAGCUAGAAGGAGAAAGAGAGGAUCGAGCUAAAGCUAAGACGUCGGAUAGCAAAACGAGGACUCUUCUUAAGGAUUAUAUCUAUGGAGGAGUGAGAGGUGAGCGAAGGAAGAGGAUCAAGAAGCGGUUUGCGUUUUGUGGGUGUGUGCAGCAACCGCCUCCAUCUCCUUGAUCGUUUUUGAAUUGUGGAGUAAAACGUAAUAAUAAUGAAAGUGAAUUCAAGUUUUAUAUAUACAUGAAUCAAAAACAAAACACCUUCGGUAGAAUUAGAGUUUUUACAUAUUAAAGUUUAAGUCAUUUAACUCUCGGCAGCUCUGAAAAUGGUAAGGAGAGACAAGAAGAGGUUGACGAUGUCCAAGUAGAGAGAAACCGCUGCCCAGAUGUACUCAUCGUAACUGUAACGUUUGAUGAGAUUGUCUGUAUCGUACACUAUGUAGCCGCAGAAUAUUAUAGAUGCCAAGCAACCGUAGAUCAUCACUGAGAUCCUACCCAACGGGAAAAAGAUCUGCACAACAUUGAAACAAAGAUGAAGCUCAUAUAUUCAAUCAAAUGUUUAACCAAAAACAAAGCAAGUGUAAGAGGAAUGACAUGUGUGUUGUUUACCUGAAUAAGAGCAAAGACCAUGAGAACGAUGAUAGCACCAAACAAGAAUGGGCCGAGGAAGUUGAAGUCAUAUCCUUUCUUUGCAGCCCAGAAGGUGUAGAAGGUUAAGGAAAGCACCACUACUGUUGUCAGAAUCGCUGACUCAAGAAUCACUUUCCCUGUUCCAACAAAACAAAGUUACAGUAGCCACAACUUUAUUUUACAUCUCUGAUUUUUUCUUUUUGUUAUUUAGUAGAAAAAAAAUUAUGUUAUUUAGUAUUCCUUAACGUGUUGUUGAGUAACGGGAAAGUUAGAAAAAGACAUCCCAGAUAUGUGUUGGAGACUUCAUUUAAUUUUAGUCAUUAGCGUGUUGUUUAAGCAGAGUCACGUGAAAGGCAAGAAACGAACAAAAGAGUAGAGUGUGUCACAAGUAAAAAAAAUGUAUUUACCGCUGGUGAAUGCACAUGAUAGCCCGACGGCGAAAGCGAGAGCCACCGUGAAAACACCAAGAAGCAAGUAGUUCACCGGAUGUUUCUGGUGGUAAUAGUACAAAGGACACAACACUGCAAUAAACAAAAACAGUUUCAGACACAAACUCAAACGAACAGACAAAAAAAACUCGAGUUAGCAAAGUUUACCUAGAAGAGGCGUGAUGAUCAGAACUAUCCACAGAGCAAGGCCAGCGCUAGUGGUGGAGAAGAACACGGCGAUCGGACGUACGGUGACAACCGUGGCGGCGACGGCGAUUGUUAGUAAAAGCUGAAAAGCGAUUAUGGAGUAAACCUUGCGGAUGAAGCCCCACCGGAGUUCGGGGCUCUCGAGCAUCGUCGGAUACAGAGGUCUCUCGCCGCCGCUCUCCACGUCAUCUUUGCGGUAGGGAAGAUUCCACUUAUGCAUAUUCCUGUAAUAAAAAAAAACGCGGGAAUAUUCGAUCGUGAGGGGGUCAGAGGUAUUGAUUUGCUUGUUACGAGAGAAGAAAAGGGUUUUGGAAGUUAUAAAAGCAGUUGCGGGAAGACGAAGGGAACGUUCUUGAAGACGCGUGAUAACAUGAUGAAACGUUAGCGGUAAAGGUGGAAACCGUAUCUACUACAAAUCUCUAGAUGGCUCCAAAGUUUCCUUUUUAACUGUUUUUAUUUGGUGUUUUAUGUGAAAUCUUAUUAUGGGCCUUAUACGGGCCUAAGUGAGAGGAUUAUUUAAACCGGGCUUAACAUUUUUAGGUCCUUUCUUGGGUUUAUAUUAGAAGGUCCAUUUGUUCCUGAUAUUGAACUUAGUCGUAAUUCAUAAGUUUUUUUUUGUCAACCUAAUUCGUAAGGGUUUAAUCAUUGUAAUUAGGCCUGGCCAUUUCGGGUAUCGGUUCGGUUCGGUUCGGGUAUUUUGGGUUUCGGAUAGUUUGGAUAGGGGUUAGAAGAUUUAUUUAGUACUUGAUCUAUUUUCGAUUCGGUUCGGUUAUUUCGGAUAUAAAAAUAUAGGAACCGUUCGGAUAUUUGAAGAUAUUGGUCUGGUUUCGGGUAUUUCGGUUCGGUUCCGGUUUGAUUCUUCGGUUCCGGUUAUUUUUCCCAGGUCUAAUUGUAAAAAUUAAAUGAUUGAUUUUUCGACCAUAACUUUGUCUGUUUUUCGUCGGUAUUUUUUGGUUAUUCUAUACUUUUAUGUCGUGAGGCAUGAUUAUAGCCGUCGCUUGUCAUGCACAAUUUGUCUUGUUUAUACAUCGCAAGAAUCAAACAAAUGAAAAUACAAGUAUCAUAUUGUUUAAUGCUCGAAAUUACACUUCUUGACCUAGUUUAGCUUUUAUUUCUGCAAAUUAUACAGUAUAUACUUUUUUUAUCCACCAACUUUUUAUACUUUUGUUUGAUGGCUAUUUACCAUGAAAUGCACCACUUCUUGUUUGCUUGUUUAGUCUACGUGACCUCUACAUUUUGUUUUUAAAUACCUAAAGCCCACAACCUGCUCACCGUGUCAUGUAAGCCAUAUUUUCAAAGAAAGCAAAAUGAUACUAAGAUUAAUAUAUAUAUAUAUAUAUAAUAUAACAGGUGAAAAGUACACACACUAUAUAGAGCAAAUCAAACUUUAGCAAGGAGAUACAGCAAACAAACUCGACUUUUUUUUUGUUUAGUUUGAAUUUUUCCAAAUUGAAUAGUUGUCUAUACAAACAUUAACUAUUAUCCACGACCUAGUAACAAUAAUGUUCUUCACAGAAUAAACUUCUACAACAUAGCAAAAAAAAAGCACUAAAAGUUUUGGUCACAACAACUCACAAGUGUUGUUGUAAUAAUAUUGUCCAAAGAGGAGGGCAUCACGUCUCGCAAUCGCUCAUCAAAGCCUAGACAAACACGUGGCAUUCUCGUUCCCGGUGGGCUCUUCGUCCGAUUGUAGACGUGAACCUAUAAUGGACUUUGAUGUUUGACCUUUUACUGGUCCCUAUUUUUCUUCAUAUUUACAAUUUAGGUCUCAUGUAUAUAUUUUAAGUUUCCGCUAUUAGUUGCAUAAAAACAAAUUUAACAAUUACGUCCAGGAUCCACAAGUAGUUGAAUAAGUUUCAUAUACAAAAGACAUAAUAUACUCAUACAUCUAGUAUAUAAAACAAAAUUAAAUAAUAAUUAUGCUCAAAAUUUUUUGAGCGAGUCAACUUAUGUUACUUUCACGUAUAAAUUGUCAAAUGUAUUUAAAUUCAAGUGUCUUAUUAUUUUUUUUCUUAUACAUUGGCUGAUUGUCUGCGCCAUCGGUUUGGGAGAGUCUUAUACAUAAUUUUUAAUUAGAUUAUAAUAGGUCAAUAUAGGAAUGAAAUAUUAUAAUGGGUAUCAAACUAAUAUAAAACAAAAAUACGAGGACUAAUAACGAAAUCAAGCUGGAAAUAAGAGAGAGAGAGAGAGAGAGAGAGGAACAAACGAAAUCGUGUCUAGAGAGAGAAAGUGAGACGACUUGAGCGACAAUCAAGGCGCGGAGAGACGCCGUCAACAAACAAAAGAAAAAAAAACAGCACAAGAACAAAAAAAAAAAAAUAAUAAUAAUAAUAAUUACGAAAGAAAGGAUCUUCUUCUUCUUCUUCGCUUUGGGUUGAUUAAUCUGUGAAAAUCUAAAUCACUAAUCAAAAUUAAAAAAAUUAAUAAGAAAUCGAUUUUUAUUUUCAGAUCUUUCUUCUGAACACGAAACCCUACAUUGCACUUCUUAGCUCAAUUUCAUCUUUUGGAGAGAUGAGAAGAGUUUCGAGUUGAUCGCAAUUAGGGUUGAUUGAUUGUUCUUUUUUCCGAUCGACGACUCGGAUCUGGUUUAGUCGUCGUCGUCGUCGUCGGAUGAAAGUGGAGAGCCAUGAAAUGGGCAACAUUGCUUAAGGACUUCAAGGAGAAGGUCGGUUUAGCUCAAUCCCCUGACGCCUCUACCUCCGACUCCUUCGCCGUUGACCUAUCUGCCCCGCCGUCUUCCUCCGCCUCUCCUUCCUCUGCUCACCCCGACGCGUCGUCUAAUCAUCGCCUUGACUUCCGCACUGAACUAGAACAGGAAAAUAUUGGGAAACAAGUGCAGAUUGAUUCCUCGGUUGAUUGCAUUAAAGUACUUAGAACUGGGAUCUACCAGGUAUUAAUGAAGCUUGAAAUUAUCCCAGGUUUUGGUUCCGGUGAUGAGAACUCACAAGACCAGAAAAAUAUUCAUGAGAUAUUGAGUAGACUUGGUGAGAUGCAAGCUAUGCUUUUGAAGAUUCAGAGAGAAAACCAUCAGGGGACUAUUGAGAACCUCGUCCUUGUUGAGUUUCUUCGGCAGCUGAAAUUAGAAGCUGUUGGUAUUGCAACAGGAAAGAAAGUACUUGAAAAGGAACUUGAAUCUGAGCGUUCUCAGAUCUUGCUUUUGCAGGAUGAGAUCCAGAAGCUUAUCAACAUGAAUGGAGAAUUGACCACAAAGGUUAAUCAAGGAGUUGACAGAGAGGAAGUCUUGAAGGUGGAAGUUGAGGAUGUGCACAGGCAGUCAGCCAUUGAGAACCUCGUCCUUGUUGAAUUUAUUAAGCAGCUUAAAUCAGAAGCUGUUGGCAUUGCAACUGAGAAGGAAACCCUUGAGGAAGAACUUGAGUCUCAUCGUUACCAGCUCUCUUUUUCGCGAGAUGAGACCAAAAAACUUACCUACAUGAUUGGAGAAUUGACCACAAAAAUUAAUCAAGGAGUCAACAGAGAAAAAGUCUUGAAGGUGGAAGUUGAUCAAGGUGUCAACAGAGAAGAAAUCUUGAAAGUGGAAAUUGAGGAUUUGCACAGGCAAUCAGCUAUUGAGAACCUUGUCCUUGUUGAAUUGCUUCAUCAACUUAAAUCAGAAGUUGUUGGUAUUGCAACUGAGAAGAAAAAUCUUGAGGAAGAACUUGAAUCUCAGCGUUACCAGCUAUCGUUUUUGCGGGAUGAGACCAAGAACCUUAGCCACAUGAUUGAAGAAUUGACUACAAAAGUCAAUCAAGGAGUUGACAGAGAAGAAGUCUUGAAGGUGGAAGUUGAUGAUUUGCACAGGCAGUCUGCCAUUGAGAACCUAGUCCUUGUUGAAUUUCUUCGGUCACAAGCUGUUGGUAUUGCAGCUGAGAAGAGAGCCCUUGAGGAAGAACUUCAAUCUCAGCUUUGUGAGACCAAAAAACUUAGCCACAUGAUUGAAGAGUUGACUACAAAAGUUAAUCAAGGAUUCAACAGAGAAGAAGUCUUGAAGGUUGAAGUUGAUGAUAUGCACAUGCACUCUGCCAUUGAGAACCUUGUCCUUGUUGAAUUUCUUCAGCAACUUAGGUCAGAAGCUGCUGGUAUUGCAACUGAGAAGAGUGUCCUUGAGGAAAAACUUGAAUCUCACCGUGACCAGCUCUCUUUUUCUAGGAAUGAGUCCAAGAACCUUAGCCACAUGAAUGGAGAAUUAACCACAAAAGUUAAUCAAGGAAUCAACAGAGAAGAAGUCUUGAAGGUGGAAAUUGAGGAUUUGCAUAGGCAGUCAGCUAUUGAGAAGUUAGUCCAUGUUGAAUUCCUUCAUCAACAUAAAUCAGAAACUGUUAGCAUUGCAGCUGAGAAGAAAAACCUUGAGGAAGAACUUGAAUCUAAGAGUUCCCAGCUAUCGUUGUUGCGAGAUGAGGCCAAGAACCUUAGCCACAUGAUUGAAGAAUUGACCACAAAGGUUAAUCAAGGAGUAUACAGAGAGGAAGUCUUGAAGGUGGAAAAUGAGGAUUUGCAAAUGCUGUCUGCUAUUGAGAACCUAGUCCUUGUUGAAUUUAUUCGGUCACAUGCUGUUGGUAUUGCAACUGAGAAGAGAACCCUUGAGCAAGAACUUCAAUCUCAGCUUUACCUGCUAUCGUUUUCGCAGGAAGAGACCAAAAAACUUAGCCACAUGAUUGAAGAAUUGACUACAAAAGUUAACCAAGGAGUUAACAGAGAAGAAGUCUUGAAGGUUGAAGUUGAUGAUAUGCACAUGCAGUCUGCCAUUGAGAACCUGGUCCUUGUUGAAUUUCUUCAGCAACUUAAAUCAGAAGCAGUUGGUAUUGCAACUGAGAAGAAAAACCUUGAGGAAGAACUUGAAUCUCAGCUUUACCUGCUCUCGCUUUCACAGGAUGAGACCAAAAAACUUAGCCACAUGAUUGAAAAAUCGACCACAAAAGUUAAUCAAGGAGUCAGAAGAGAAGAAGUCUUGAAGGUUGAAAAUGAGGAUUUGCAAAUGCUGUCUGCCAUUAAGAACCUCAUCCUUGUUGAAUCUCUUUGUCAACUCAAAUCAGAAGUGGUUUGUAUUGCAACUGAGAAAAAACUCCUUGAAGAAGAACUUGAAUCUCAGCGUUCCAUGCUCUCGCUUUCUCGGGAUGAGACUCAGAAACUUAUCUACAUGAAUGGAGAAUUAACCACCAAAAUUAAACAAGGAGUCAACAGAGAAGAAGCAUUGAAGGUGGAAAUUGAGGAUGUGCACAGGCAAGUCUUGCAACUUCGAAACGACUACGCCACUUUGCAGGGAGAGAAUCACAAAACGUUGGACGAGAAAACAUACUUAACAAAGUCAACACUGCGGUUAGAGGAGGAGAAACGUAAACUAGAAGAGGACAUCUCUUUGCUUCUUUCCGAGACUAUAUACCAAAGCAAUCUCAUUAUUCUCUUGGAGGAUCUCGUUUUGGAAAAACUUUCAGAAGCGGUGAAACUAAACGAGGAUUUGGACAGGCUGGAGGAAGAGGUGAGGGAGGUUGGUGAUAAGUUAACAUCCAGAGAAACUGAGAACUUGCAGCUUGAAGGUUUGCUAGAGAAAGCAGACGCCGAGCUGCUCUCUGCCAGAUCAGCCAAUGAUCAGUUGGAACAUGAAAUUGCUGAUGUGAAGGAUGAGUUGGUUCAGAAGGAGAAAGAGCUUCUAGAAGCUAUGCUGAUGAUCUCCAUCGUGAAGAGUGAAAAAUCUGAACUAUCCAAGGCAGUGGAGGAUUUAGAAUGUAGAUACAAG